UACGUAGGGUGCAAGCGUUAUCCGGAAUUAUUGGGCGUAAAGAGCUCGUAGGCGGUUUGUCGCGUCUGCUGUGAAAACUGGAGGCUCAACCUCCAGCCUGCAGUGGGUACGGGCAAACUAGAGUGCGGUAGGGGAGAUUGGAAUUCCUGGUGUAGCGGUGGAAUGCGCAGAUAUCAGGAGGAACACCGAUGGCGAAGGCAGAUCU
rnacentral:rRNA from 1 species